rnacentral:rRNA from 1 species
AAGAGAGGAGCUUGCUCUUCUUGGAUGAGUUGCGAACGGGUGAGUAACGCGUAGGUAACCUGCCUUGUAGCGGGGGAUAACUAUUGGAAACGAUAGCUAAUACCGCAUAACAAUGAAUGACACAUGUCAUUUAUUUGAAAGGGGCAAUUGCUCCACUACAAGAUGGACCUGCGUUGUAUUAGCUAGUAGGUGAGGUAACGGCUCACCUAGGCGACGAUACAUAGCCGACCUGAGAGGGUGAUCGGCCACACUGGGACUGAGACACGGCCCAGACUCCUACGGGAGGCAGCAGUAGGGAAUCUUCGGCAAUGGGGGCAACCCUGACCGAGCAACGCCGCGUGAGUGAAGAAGGUUUUCGGAUCGUAAAGCUCUGUUGUAAGUCAAGAACGAGUGUGAGAGUGGAAAGUUCACACUGUGACGGUAGCUUACCAGAAAGGGACGGCUAACUACGUGCCAGCAGCCGCGGUAAUACGUAGGUCCCGAGCGUUGUCCGGAUUUAUUGGGCGUAAAGCGAGCGCAGGCGGUUUGAUAAGUCUGAAGUUAAAGGCUGUGGCUCAACCAUAGUUCGCUUUGGAAACUGUCAAACUUGAGUGCAGAAGGGGAGAGUGGAAUUCCACGUGCAGCGGUGAAAUGCGUAGAUAUAUGGAGGAACACCGGUGGCGAAAGCGGCUCUCUG